CCCUUUGGGUGUGACUGCGUACCUUUUGUAUAAUGGGUCAGCGACUUAUAUUCUGUAGCAAGGUUAACCGAAUAGGGGAGCCGGAGGGAAACCGAGUCUUAACCGGGCGUUAAGUUGCAGGGUAUAGACCCGAAACCCGGUGAUCUAGCCAUGGGCAGGUUGAAGGUUGGGUAACACUAACUGGAGGACCGAACCGACUAAUGUUGAAAAAUUAGCGGAUGACCUGUGGCUGGGGGUGAAAGGCCAAUCAAACCGGGAGAUAGCUGGUUCUCCCCGAAAGCUAUUUAGGUAGCGCCUCGUGAAUUCAUCUCCGGGGGUAGAGCACUGUUUCGGCUAGGGGGCCAUCCCGGCUUACCAACCCGAUGCAAACUGCGAAUACCGGAGAAUGUUAUCACGGGAGACACACGGCGGGUGCUAACGUCCGUCGUGAAGAGGGAAACAACCCAGACCGCCAGCUAAGGUCCCAAAGUCAUGGUUAAGUGGGAAACGAUGUGGGAAGGCCCAGACAGCCAGGAUGUUGGCUUAGAAGCAGCCAUCAUUUAAAGAAAGCGUAAUAGCUCACUGGUCGAGUCGGCCUGCGCGGAAGAUGUAACGGGGCUAAACCAUGCACCGAAGCUGCGGCAGCGACACUGUGUGUUGUUGGGUAGGGGAGCGUUCUGUAAGCCUGUGAAGGUGUGUCGUGAGGCAUGCUGGAGGUAUCAGAAGUGCGAAUGCUGACAUAAGUAACGAUAAAGCGGGUGAAAAGCCCGCUCGCCGGAAGACCAAGGGUUCCUGUCCAACGUUAAUCGGGGCAGGGUGAGUCGACCCCUAAGGCGAGGCCGAAAGGCGUAGUCGAUGGGAAACGGGUUAAUAUUCCCGUACUUGGUGUUACUGCGAAGGGGGGACGGAGAAGGCUAUGUUGGCCGGGCGACGGUUGUCCCGGUUUAAGCGUGUAGGUGUGUGUUCCAGGUAAAUCCGGUUCACUUUAACACUGAGGCGUGACGACGAGGCACUACGGUGCUGAAGCAACAAAUGCCCUGCUUCCAGGAAAAGCCUCUAAGCAUCAGGUAACAUCAAAUCGUACCCCAAACCGACACAGGUGGUCAGGUAGAGAAUACCAAGGCGCUUGAGAGAACUCGGGUGAAGGAACUAGGCAAAAUGGUGCCGUAACUUCGGGAGAAGGCACGCUGACACGUAGGUGAAGUGAUUUACUCAUGGAGCUGAAGUCAGUCGAAGAUACCAGCUGGCUGCAACUGUUUAUUAAAAACACAGCACUGUGCAAACACGAAAGUGGACGUAUACGGUGUGACGCCUGCCCGGUGCCGGAAGGUUAAUUGAUGGGGUCAGCGCAAGCGAAGCUCCUGAUCGAAGCCCCGGUAAACGGCGGCCGUAACUAUAACGGUCCUAAGGUAGCGAAAUUCCUUGUCGGGUAAGUUCCGACCUGCACGAAUGGCGUAAUGAUGGCCAGGCUGUCUCCACCCGAGACUCAGUGAAAUUGAACUCGCUGUGAAGAUGCAGUGUACCCGCGGCAAGACGGAAAGACCCCGUGAACCUUUACUAUAGCUUGACACUGAACAUUGAGCCUUGAUGUGUAGGAUAGGUGGGAGGCUUUGAAGUGUGGACGCCAGUCUGCAUGGAGCCGACCUUGAAAUACCACCCUUUAAUGUUUGAUGUUCUAACGUGGACCCGUUACCCGGGUUGCGGACAGUGUCUGGUGGGUAGUUUGACUGGGGCGGUCUCCUCCUAAAGAGUAACGGAGGAGCACGAAGGUUGGCUAAUCCUGGUCGGACAUCAGGAGGUUAGUGCAAUGGCAUAAGCCAGCUUGACUGCGAGCGUGACGGCGCGAGCAGGUGCGAAAGCAGGUCAUAGUGAUCCGGUGGUUCUGAAUGGAAGGGCCAUCGCUCAACGGAUAAAAGGUACUCCGGGGAUAACAGGCUGAUACCGCCCAAGAGUUCAUAUCGACGGCGGUGUUUGGCACCUCGAUGUCGGCUCAUCACAUCCUGGGGCUGAAGUAGGUCCCAAGGGUAUGGCUGUUCGCCAUUUAAAGUGGUACGCGAGCUGGGUUUAGAACGUCGUGAGACAGUUCGGUCCCUAUCUGCCGUGGGCGCUGGAGAACUGAGGGGGGCUGCUCCUAGUACGAGAGGACCGGAGUGGACGCAUCACUGGUGUUCGGGUUGUCAUGCCAAUGGCACUGCCCGGUAGCUAAAUGCGGAAGAGAUAAGUGCUGAAAGCAUCUAAGCACGAAACUUGCCCCGAG
rnacentral:rRNA from 2 species